rnacentral:sRNA from 1 species
AACGGAUUGCGAGUAAGGUGGCCAUGUCUGGUGCGCAGCAAUGCAAGCCAGCGUGCGUUUCCAUCGGAAAGCAUUCGUAAGUCGCUCGCCUUGCACAUCCAUUCCCAAGUUCAAUUUCAAAGCAUCGACACCAGCCGCUCCGAGAGGACUGGCCUCGAGUGUCAUCGCUUUUUGACAACGGAAGUAGUGGUAGAUCGCGGAUUUGAGAAUCUUUAUUGAGAGACUUUCUAUUUUGGAUUGUCACUCGAAAGAACCGAAUCACGUACGACCGAUUCGAAUGAAAGAUCGCGCGUGCUCUGCUUGACUUAUUCAGCUAUGUAGUCAAGCGAGCGAAAGCAUGUGGGGGAUGCCUGGGUACACAGAGGCGAUGAAGGCCGUGGUAAGCUGCGAUAAGCCAGGGGGAGCGGCACACACGCAUUGAUCCCUGGAUGG